GGCACGCAUGACUGUAAGUCGCUUUGGAUAAAAGCAUUUGCCAAAUGGCUUAUA
rfam:Salmo salar isolate Sally breed double haploid chromosome ssa12, whole genome shotgun sequence.